UACGAAGGGGGGCUAGCGUUGCUCGGAAUCACUGGGCGUAAAGCGCACGUAGGCGGAUUGUUAAGUCAGGGGUGAAAUCCUGGAGCUCAACUCCAGAACUGCCUUUGAUACUGGCGAUCUCGAGUCCGGGAGAGGUGAGUGGAACUGCGAGUGUAGAGGUGAAAUUCGUAGAUAUUCGCAAGAACACCAGUGGCGAAGGCGGCUCACUGGCCCGGUACUGACGCUGAGGUGCGAAAGCGUGGGAGCAACAGG
rnacentral:rRNA from 1 species